rnacentral:rRNA from 43 species
GUGACCCCAGGAUGGGCGAGGCCACCCGCUGAGUUUAAG